rnacentral:rRNA from 1 species
AUUGAACGCUGGCGGCAGGCUUAACACAUGCAAGUCGAGCGGGGGAAGGUAGCUUGCUACCGGACCUAGCGGCGGACGGGUGAGUAAUGCUUAGGAAUCUGCCUAUUAGUGGGGGACAACAUCUCGAAAGGGAUGCUAAUACCGCAUACGUCCUACGGGAGAAAGCAGGAGAUCUUCGGACCUUGCGCUAAUAGAUGAGCCUAAGUCGGAUUAGCUAGUUGGUGGGGUAAAGGCCUACCAAGGCGACGAUCUGUAGCGGGUCUGAGAGGAUGAUCCGCCACACUGGGACUGAGACACGGCCCAGACUCCUACGGGAGGCAGCAGUGGGGAAUAUUGGACAAUGGGGGGAACCCUGAUCCAGCCAUGCCGCGUGUGUGAAGUAGGCCUUAUGGUUGUAAAGCACUUUAAGCGAGGAGGAGGCUACUCUAGUUAAUACCUAGGGAUAGUGGACGUUACUCGCAGAAUAAGCACCGGCUAACUCUGUGCCAGCAGCCGCCGUAA